rnacentral:rRNA from 1 species
AUUGAACGCUGGCGGCAUGCCUUACACAUGCAAGUCGAACGGCAGCACGGGAGCAAUCCUGGUGGCGAGUGGCGAACGGGUGAGUAAAGUAUCGGAACGUGCCCAGUCGUGGGGGAUAACGUAGCGAAAGUUACGCUAAUACCGCAUACGAUCUAUGGAUGAAAGCGGGGGAUCGCAAGACCUCGCGCGAUUGGAGCGGCCGAUAUCAGAUUAGGUAGUUGGGGGGGUGAGGGGUCACCAAGCCGACGAUCUGUAGCGGGUCUGAGAGGACGACCAGCCACACUGGGACUGAGACACGGCCCAGGCUCCUACGGGAGGCAGCAGUGGGGAAUUUUGGACAAUGGGCGAAGCCUGAUCCAGCCAUGCCGCGUGCAGGAUGAAGGCCUUCGGGUUGUAAACUGCUUUUGUACGGAACGAAAAGGUUUGGCCUAAUAAGCUGAGCUCAUGACGGUACCGUAAGAAUAAGCACCGGCUAACUACGUGCCAGCAGCCGCGGUAA